rnacentral:rRNA from 1 species
GACAGAGGCCACAAGCGUUAGGCGGAAUCACUGGGCUUAAAGCGCGUGUAGGUGGGCCUGCAAGUACCUUGUGAAAUCCCAUAGCUCAACUAUGGAACUGCUUGGUAUACUGCCGGUCUUGAGCCAUCUAGGGGCUACUGGAACAAACGGUGGAGCGGUGAAAUGCGUAGAUAUCGUUUGGAACGCCAAUGGUGAAAACAGGUAGCUGGGGAUGUGCUGACACUGAGACGCGAAAGCCAGGGGAGCAAACAGG